AGAGUUUGAUCAUGGCUCAGAUUGAACGCUGGCGGCAGGCCUAACACAUGCAAGUCGAACGGUAACAGGAAUCAGCUUGCUGAUUUGCUGACGAGUGGCGGACGGGUGAGUAAUGUCUGGGAAACUGCCUGAUGGAGGGGGAUAACUACUGGAAACGGUAGCUAAUACCGCAUAACGUCGCAAGACCAAAGAGGGGGACCUUCGGGCCUCUUGCCAUCGGAUGUGCCCAGAUGGGAUUAGCUAGUAGGUGGGGUAAAGGCUCACCUAGGCGACGAUCCCUAGCUGGUCUGAGAGGAUGACCAGCCACACUGGAACUGAGACACGGUCCAGACUCCUACGGGAGGCAGCAGUGGGGAAUAUUGCACAAUGGGCGCAAGCCUGAUGCAGCCAUGCCGCGUGUAUGAAGAAGGCCUUCGGGUUGUAAAGUACUUUCAGCGGGGAGGAAGGGAGUAAAGUUAAUACCUUUGCUCAUUGACGUUACCCGCAGAAGAAGCACCGGCUAACUCCGUGCCAGCAGCCGCGGUAAUACGGAGGGUGCAAGCGUUAAUCGGAAUUACUGGGCGUAAAGCGCACGCAGGCGGUUUGUUAAGUCAGAUGUGAAAUCCCCGGGCUCAACCUGGGAACUGCAUCUGAUACUGGCAAGCUUGAGUCUCGUAGAGGGGGGUAGAAUUCCAGGUGUAGCGGUGAAAUGCGUAGAGAUCUGGAGGAAUACCGGUGGCGAAAGGCGGCCCC
rnacentral:rRNA from 1 species